ACCAGUAUGGUAAACAACUUCAGCAGCUUUUAUCUGUAUCUCUUGGGACGAAAAAUAAAAGCCAUUUGUCAGCAAUGAACCUUGAUUAAAUACUGCAGAUUAAUAAAAGGACUGCAGAAAUAGUUGAACUAACUAUGUACGUCCUUUGGGUGGAACUCUGAAACCACUGACGAACCAUGACUCAUUGCUGAAACAUGCAGUUCAGAAGGUUUAUUACUUACUUGAUCAACUUACAUGUCUAGGCACAUAUAUCAAUGCCUACUGAAGCUGGAUGCAGUUUCCUGGAGUCCUAUUUUAACAGAUGUUUUCAUACUGACUAAUUGUACAGAUUAAUUGUUAUCUCUCAUAUAAGAUGCUGAUAAAAGUUCUUGGGUUCAAUAAAGUUUUGAAGAAAAAAGUA